rnacentral:tRNA from 1 species
AAGAUUUUAAGUUAAAUAAAACUAUCAACCUUCAAAGUUAAUAAUAAUAWUACAMAAAAAUUAUUAAAUCUUA